rnacentral:rRNA from 1 species
CAGUCGCCACGGUAAUACGUAGGUGGCAAGCGUUGUCCGGAAUUAUUGGGCGUAAAGGGCUCGCAGGCGGUUUCUUAAGUCUGAUGUGAAAGCCCCCGGCUCAACCGGGGAGGGCCAUUGGAAACUGGGAAACUUGAGUGCAGAAGAGGAGAGUGGAAUUCCACGUGUAGCGGUGAAAUGCGUGGAGAUGUGGAGGAACACCAGUGGCGAAGGCGACUCUCUGGUCUGUAACUGACGCUGAGGAGCGAAAGCGUGGGGAGCGAACAGGUUUAGAUACCCGUGUAGUCCCUGUCUCUUAUAC